GAUGAACGCUAGCGGCAGGCUUAAUACAUGCAAGUCGAGGGGCAGCACGGUUAGCAAUAACUGGUGGCGACCGGCGCACGGGUGCGUAACACGUAUACAAUCUACCUUAAACAGGGGGAUAGCCUUUCGAAAGAGAGAUUAAUACCCCGUAAUAAAUUGAACGGCAUCGUUUGAUUUUGAAAGCUCCGGCGGUUUGAGAUGAGUAUGCGUCUGAUUAGCUAGUUGGUGAGGUAACGGCUAACCAAGGCGACGAUCAGUAGGGGAUCUGAGAGGACUAACCCCCACACUGGUACUGAGACACGGACCAGACUCCUACGGGAGGCAGCAGUAAGGAAUAUUGGUCAAUGGAGGCAACUCUGAACCAGCCAUGCCGCGUGCAGGAUGACGGCCCUAUGGGUUGUAAACUGCUUUUAUACAAGAGAAAACCCUGGUACGUGUACCAGGUUGAUAGUAUUGUAAGAAUAAGCAUCGGCUAACUUCGUGCCAGCAGCCGCCGUAAAAC
rnacentral:rRNA from 1 species